GCGGAAGGAUCAUUACAGAGCGUGAGACUCUGUCCGGGCUUCGCCCGCGUGCAGAGUUGACCCUCCACCCGUGUUGACUUAUCUCAUGUUGCUUUGGCGGGCCAGGUGCCUUGCGCCUGCCGGCUUCGCGCUGGCUCGCGUCCGCCAAAGACCCAACCUAACUCGUGUUGUCGUGUAGUCUGAGGAAUAACUAUUGAAUUGUUAAAACUUUCAACAACGGAUCUCUUGGCUCUGGCA
rnacentral:misc_RNA from 1 species